UAGAUUAAUUCACGUUGGCCCAAAAAAAUUAAGCUAAAAUAGUUAUGUCAUGUCGCAGUGGUUUUUGCCAUAUGGGUAACUGUAUUAAAUUCACAUUAAAUAACAUUAAAUAGAGUCUUUCUUUAAUGUGUUUUCUCAAAUUUGACGAUGAAUUUUUAAAAGCACUUAUUUUCGUGGUUCAUGGCAAACAGAGUAGACACUGGUGUCUGCAAUUUCUAUGUUAUUUGAUUUGAUUGUAGGUCGCUAUGACUUCUCUUUGCCUAUGAGGUGCUGCAACACAUGCCACAAAUCAUGGACACCUGGGCUGCUGGACCUUACCCGAAGUGGUUACUGGCCAGGCUCUGUAACAUUUCAAACAAUAUAUCAGGUUGACCUGUUCACUUCUUUUGAGCUGUUUAAAGUUGCUGCACCAGGCCUAUCACGACAAGCAUUUAUAAAGAUGUUAGAGCAAACGUCACAGAACUUUGGACGGGUAAAAAUGCUUUAAAUAAUGCUUUAAAUGUUAAGAAAAAAAAACAGCUCUUUAGCUCCAUUGUCUCCCCCCCCAACCCCCACCCCCCAAUGAAAAAGAGAAGCUCAGUGCAAUUGAUCACUUCUCGUGUCCUGCAUGUGUAACCGGUUCUGCGUUGUGUUUUCUUAGUUUUAUGAAGGAAUAACCAGUCGGAGAUCUGCAGUUGUGACGGCUCCUUACUGAGAAUAAACAGAAACCACAGCUCUUACGGUAAAAGGAAAAGGCACAUGUGGAAAAUCCACUUGGGCUGCUGCCAGAGAGACUUCAAUGGAAUGAACCACCAACUUAUCCAGCAUAUGUUUUACGCAGUGGAUGCCCU